CUGUCCCAGCCUCCCGGGCCUCCUUCUUUUCAUCCAACAGGCUCCUGCCUCCAGGCCUUUGGCACCAGCUGUUCCCUCUCCCUGGUGGCCUGGUCUAGCCUGGACUCAGACACUCCUGGUGCCCCUGCCCUGGCUCUUCCUCUUUGUUCUUCCACAGCACCCGUGACUGUCUGAUGCAACAAGGAAUUGACUUGUUGUCUGUCUGGGCUGGGACCUCUGGCUGUUGUUCACUGAUGUUAUCCCGAAGGCUCAGCACAGCACGUAGCAGAGGACAGGAUAGGAAACUGGGGCUUGUCAGGCUGAGCCCGGCCAGGCACCCAGUCUUCUGACCCCAGCAAAGAGUCCAUCACCCGUCAUGGCCCAGGGGCGCUGCAGUACGGCUGCUGCCUGAGUCACCUCUACCCUGACAAGUCCCAGGAAGCAUCUCCCUUUCACAGGCCAGCGGGCAGCCCUGUGGGAGGCCACCUGUUGACCACGGGCGUGAGCAAACCCGCGAAGCCACCUAUCGCGGAGACCCAGGCUUGCCUGCGCGGGUGGGCGGAGAAAGCGCG